CCUACGGGUGGCAGCAGUGAGGAAUAUUGGUCAAUGGACGAGAGUCUGAACCAGCCAAGUAGCGUGAAGGAUGACUGCCCUAUGGGUUUUAAACUUCUUUUAUAUGGGAAUAAAAUGUUCCUCGCGUGGCAUUUUGUAUGUACCAUAUGAAUAAGGAUCGGCUAACCCCGUGCCAGCAGCCGCGGUAAUACGGAGGAUCCGAGCGUUAUCCGGAUUUAGUGGGUUUAAAGGGAGCGUAGGUGGAUUGUUAAGUCGGUUGUGAAAGUUUGCGGCUCAAACGUAAAAUUGCAGUUGAAACUGGCAGUCUUGAGUACAGUAGAGGUGGGCGGAAUUCGUGGUGUAGCGGUGAAAUGCUUAGAUAUCACGAAGAACUCCGAUUGCGAAGGCAGUUCACUGGACUGCAACUGACACUGAGGCUCGAAAGUGUGGGUAGCAAACAGGAUUAGAUACCCCAGUAGUC
rnacentral:rRNA from 1 species